UACGUAGGUGGCAAGCGUUGUCCGGAAUUACUGGGUGUAAAGCGCGUGUAGGCGGCAGGCCAAGUCUGCGGUGAAAGCGCCCGGCUCAACUGGGCGAGGUCCGUGGAAACUGGUCAGCUGGAGGACGGUAGAGGCGAGUGGAAUUCCCGGUGUAGUGGUGAAAUGCGUAGAGAUCGGGAGGAACACCUGUGGCGAAGGCGGCUCGCUGGGCCGGUACUGACGCUGAGACGCGAAAGCGUGGGGAGCGAACAGG
rnacentral:rRNA from 1 species